rnacentral:rRNA from 1 species
CCUACGGGAGGCAGCAGUGGGGAAUUUUGGACAAUGGGCGCAAGCCUGAUCCAGCAAUGCCGCGUGCAGGAUGAAGGCCUUCGGGUUGUAAACUGCUUUUGUACGGAACGAAACGGCGAGCUCUAAUAAAGUUUGCUAAUGACGGUACCGUAAGAAUAAGCACCGGCUAACUACGUGCCAGCAGCCGCGGUAAUACGUAGGGUGCAAGCGUUAAUCGGAAUUACUGGGCGUAAAGCGUGCGCAGGCGGUUAUAUAAGACAGAUGUGAAAUCCCCGGGCUCAACCUGGGACCUGCAUUUGUGACUGUAUAGCUAGAGUACGGUAGAGGGGGAUGGAAUUCCGCGUGUAGCAGUGAAAUGCGUAGAUAUGCGGAGGAACACCGAUGGCGAAGGCAAUCCCCUGGACCUGUACUGACGCUCAUGCACGAAACGACGGUGGGGUAGGACGAACGAGGAGUUAGUAUACCCUACGGUAGUCCGACCGACCCGUAAACCGAACUAGUCAACUAGGUUGGUUUGGGUUCGUUCUACU